rnacentral:rRNA from 1 species
UACAGAGGGGGCAAGCGUUGUUCGGAAUUACUGGGCGUAAAGGGCGCGUAGGCGGCCCGCUAAGUCGAACGUGAAAUCCCCGGGCUUAACCCGGGAACUGCGUCCGAUACUGGCAGGCUUGAAUCCGGGAGAGGGAUGUGGAAUUCCAGGUGUAGCGGUGAAAUGCGUAGAUAUCAGGAGGAACACCAAUGGCGAAGGCAGCUCGCUGGGACGUGACUGACGCUGAGACGCGAAAGCGUGGGGAGCAAACAGG